UCUGGGAGGAGGCUUCUCUGUCCUUCUGACAGUUCAAACCCUAAGUAUUUAACAGUCUUUUAAGAUAUUUGGGUCUUGUUCUUUGAAGCCUU